UUGACGGGGCCCGCACAAGCGGUGGAGUAUGUGGUUUAAUUCGAUGCAACGCGAAGAACCUUACCUGGUCUUGACAUCCCGGAGACCCUUAGGAAACGUAGGGGGUGCUCCAUCUGGAAGAAUCUGGAGACAGGUGCUGCAUGGCUGUCGUCAGCUCGUGUCGUGAGAUGUUGGGUUAAGUCCCGCAACGAGCGCAACCCUUGCCUUUAGUUGCCAGCAGUUCGGCUGGGCACUCUAAAGGGACUGCCGGUGUUAAACCGGAGGAAGGUGGGGAUGACGUCAAGUCCUCAUGGCCUUUAUGACCAGGGCUACACACGUACUACAAUGGCCGAUACAAAGGGCAGCGACACUGCGAGGUGAAGCCAAUCCCGUAAAAUCGGUCUCAGUCCGGAUUGGAGUCUGCAACUCGACUCCAUGAAGUUGGAAUCGCUAGUAAUCGUGGAUCAGCAUGCCACGGUGAAUACGUUCCCGGGCCUU
rnacentral:rRNA from 1 species